AGCAAAACACUGAUCAAGCUAGUUCCACUAGGCUUCAUAGGGAAUUUACCCAUUCUGACUCCAUUUGCUGUUCUCCCUCCAGAGCUGAGCUGGUCUGGAAGCAGCUCACCCAUGCAUGUGUGCCAGCCUGACACAGUGGAAUUGGAAGUGAUGAUCCAGCAAGGGUGAGCAGGAGUUAACUUCAGGUCAUCACUCUAGUCAAUAUGCAAUCAGGCCCAACACAGGAGGAUGGAGUGAGUAUUAACCACCUGGUUAAUUUGGGCUAUGGAGAUGGUGAAGUUUCUAGAGGGCAAGAGGUAUGAAGAGUGGCUGAGGUGUCUUGGUUUAUUCAGCCCAGAGCAGGCUGAGGGGAGGCCUCAUGGUGGUCUGCAGCUCCCUCGCUACAGGAGUAGAGAGGCAGCUCCAUGGCACAGUUACAGGGCAGAUUUGCUGCUGUAUUGGGUCAGCAGUGAAGCAUGCAAUGUAGCUCAGCAACCCUGCAGAAGACUCAGCUCAACCUCAACAUCUUUAAAUCCAUCUGCUCCCUUACCUCUUGCUGAAUUCCUUGCUUGCUUGCUGGGCUAUUGGCACCAAACAUCUUGAAGAAAAUCUCAGAAAUGUUCAUUCUGGACUGGAGAUAUUCUAACUUCUCAUUCCUGAUAUUGAGACUGUGACCUUUUUGGAUCCUUUAUGGCUUCACAUACAUUUCGUAGAAGUUUAUUUUGCCAAUGACUUUGUUUUAAGAUGGUCAAUUUGGCCACUGGCUACAUGGGGCAAAAGUACAUAGUGCUUUAUUCAUUAUUAUUUAUGGUUCCUAGAAAUUUUCCAUUCAAGUUUUCAGGCAAACUUUGCACAGUCAGCCUUGCUAAACUUCUGACCCUGUGAUGAAGAAAGAAAAUAUUUUAACGCAAGAAAGUAGAACACAGAGCUCCUACCCUGAAACAUUACUUCAAAUGGUCAAGAUUCUUAAUUUUUUCCUUAAUACUUUCUAAUCAUCUUUGUUAUUGCUGUUGUUUUUGUUUGCUGAAUUGUUUGUAUGUUUCACCCCAUUUGGACAAUGAGGUAAAUUUCCCCUUAGAAAUGCAAGCUAUUAUUGAUGAUGUCUUCCAUAAAUAGCCAUAGACUUUGGGUCUAUACUUUUUUUUUUGUUGUUGUCUCUUGAUUCUUUCUUUGCUUGGAUUAAGUGAAAUGCAACACUCCUACUAACUAAUACAGAGAAAAAGCAGGGAAAAGAAAGGUUUUUCUCCAUGUCUCUUCUCUUUGCUGUACAUUUUAUUUCUGACUGAGCAUUUUUGAACAGUUCAAACUGUUGAAAGAGACCGGUCAUGCCACAAAGCACUGUUUCUUGUUUACUAUUGCCAGUUUUAGCUAUUGCCUAUGUCUUUUCCUAGGGUUUUCUUUGACGGAUGCUAUGGUUUUAAGUAUCUCCAAUGAAAACUGACCGACUGCCAACAACUCUUUUUACUUCUCUUUGUAUAUGUUGUCCUAUGCCCUGCAUUGAGUUUCUUUAUACAAUGGUUUCUGGGCAAUUAUAGUAACGAAGAAUAUGAAAAUGUCCUUUGAGUUUGUUCUACACAUUUCCUUGUCAAUGUGGAUAUAGGAUAUUUUAUAGUGUUACCUAUAUUUUCUGUAUGAUAUCGACAAUACUGUUUCGUAUUUCCAUUUCUUCAGUUUUUCUGUAUUCCUUCCUCUAAGUCACAAACACUAAGGUAGUGCACUUUUCAACCUUUUCCAUUGGUCUACUACUGUUAGUAAAAUACAAACCACCAAUAAAAAUCUACUGAACCUC